rnacentral:rRNA from 1 species
UACGAAGGGGGCUAGCGUUGUUCGGAAUCACUGGGCGUAAAGCGUAUGUAGGCGGAUCGUUAAGUCGGGGGUGAAAUCCCGAGGCUCAACCUCGGAACUGCCUUCGAUACUGGCGAUCUCGAGUCCGGGAGAGGUGAGUGGAACUGCGAGUGUAGAGGUGAAAUUCGUAGAUAUUCGCAAGAACACCAGUGGCGAAGGCGGCUCACUGGCCCGGUACUGACGCUGAGGUGCGAAAGCCAGGGGAGCAAACGGG